AUUACCAGGUCCAGCCUGCCCAGUGACCCAGUUCAACGGCCGCGGUAUCCUAACCGUGCGAAGGUAGCGUAAUCACUUGUUCUUUAAAUAAGGACUGGUAUGAACGGCACCACGAGGGUUACACCGUCUCCUCUUUCUAAUCAGUGAAACUAAUCUCCCCGUGAAGAAGCUGGGAUUUUUUUAUAAGACGAGAAGACCCUAUGGAGCUUUAAACUACUAACACUUGCUGCCAUUCACUCCCCCUUCCAGAAACUUUUUAUUAAGCAUAGCAUCAUGAUUAAUAGUUUUCGAUUGGGGUGAUCGCGGAGUAAAAAACAACCUCCAUGCCGAAAGGGCUUCCUCCCCUGAGCCAAAAGCUACAACUUAAAGCACUAAAAAAUUAACGUUUAUUGACCCAAUAAUUUUGAUCAACGAACCAAGUUACCCUAGGGAUAACAGCGCAAUCCACUUCAAGAGCUCCUAUCGACAAGUGGGUUUACGACCUCGAUGUUGGAUCAGGGUAUCCCAGUGGUGCAGCCGCUACUAACGGUUCGUUUGUUCAACGAUUAAAACCCUACGGUGGAAAAAAGUGGGGGAACGCCCAAAACCUAAAUACCUCAUUCUUUGAUCCUGCAGGAGGCGGCGACCCAAUUCUGUAUCAACAUCUGUUGUGAUUUUUGCCAAAAA
rnacentral:rRNA from 1 species